rnacentral:rRNA from 1 species
GAACAAAUAAAGAGCUUGCUCUUUUGACGUUAGCGGCGGACGGGUGAGUAACACGUGGGUAACCUACCUAUAAGACUGGAAUAACUCCGGGAAACCGGGGCUAAUGCCGGAUAACAUUUAGAACCGCAUGGUUCUAAAGUGAAAGAUGGUUUUGCUAUCACUUAUAGAUGGACCCGCGCCGUAUUAGCUAGUUGGUAAGGUAACGGCUUACCAAGGCAACGAUACGUAGCCGACCUGAGAGGGUGAUCGGCCACACUGGAACUGAGACACGGUCCAG